UUUUUUUUUUUUUAAAGAUACUUGCUUAUUUUCUCCUUUCAAAGCCAGUAUUAGCAUUCUUUGAAAGUGUCUCAUUUACACAAUAAACAAUAUUAACCAUUGUCUGUCAGAUAAAGAUGACAGAAUAAUUAACCUACAUAUUUUUGAAAGAAGAUCAAAAUCAUAAAAGCAUGUGCUCCCCCUACACAAAAGUAAGUGGCAACUGACAAAGACCUUCAAAUACUUUAAGGACUAUCACUGCCACAUCAAAGUCAGAAUUCUCAUUGUUAAAAUUUGGGUAGCAGCACAAUAGAGAAAACAUACUACAUUGGCUUCUGGAUACAGUUUGUGUCCCCUUAACUUCAUUUUAGAAACUGCUGCGUUUUGGAUGUGGUUUGUCUCCACCAAAACUCAUGUGGAAAUUUAAUCCCCAGUGUGACAGUGUUGGGAGAUGGGGUCUAAUGGGAGGUUUUUGGGUCCUGGAAGCAGAUCCCUCAAGAAUAGAUUAACACUCUCCUUAUUCUCACUCUCCAGGGACUGGAUUAGAUUCCUUAAGAGCAGGUUGAGAUAAAGCAAGGGUGCCCCUUGGGUUUCAUUUCUUCACAAGUGUCUAUUUCCCCUUUGACCUUCUCUGCCAUGUUUUGACCAGCAUGUGGCCCUCAGCAGAAACCAAGCAGAUGCCAGUGCCAUGCCCCAUGAACUUCCUAGCCUGCAGAACCUUGUAUUAAAUAACCUCUUUUCUUUAUAAAUUACCCAGUGUCAGGUAUUCUGUUAUGGCAACAUGACAUGGACUAAGACAGAAGCCUACGAACCAUAUUCAAAUUUGAAGGGACAAUAAAUUACAGCAACCCUUUGGACAUUAGACAUACUAUCAACAAAAAUGCAAUUAUUGUCAUUCUUUAAAGAGGUUUAACAAAGGUGUAUUUAAAAAUGUUAGCAAGCUUCAAAGUCCUUUACUUUGUUCAAACUAUGUCAAUAUAAUGCUUUAUUUCUUCUCUGGACUCUUGAAAUUGAAAACAUUCCUAAUUUGGUCCUUCAGCUGCAAUUUUCCUUACAUGGUUCUUUCACUGUAUAGCAGAGCAUUCCUUGUGUCUGGUUAGCAGUAUGCUAU
rnacentral:lncRNA from 1 species